rnacentral:rRNA from 1 species
GAUGAACGCUAGCGGCAGGCUUAAUACAUGCAAGUCGAGGGGCAGCACGGUUAGCAAUAACUGGUGGCGACCGGCGCACGGGUGCGUAACACGUAUACAAUCUACCUUAAACAGGGGGAUAGCCUUUCGAAAGAGAGAUUAAUACCCCGUAAUAAAUUGAAACGGCAUCGUUUGAUUUUUGAAAGCUCCGGCGGUUUGAGAUGAGUAUGCGUCUGAUUAGCUAGUUGGUGAGGUAACGGCUCACCAAGGCGACGAUCAGUAGGGGAUCUGAGAGGACUAACCCCCACACUGGUACUGAGACACGGACCAGACUCCUACGGGAGCAGCAGUAAGGAAUAUUGGU